UGAGGAAUAUUGCACAAUGGGCGCAAGCCUGAUGCAGCGACGCCGCGUGGGUGAAGAAGGAUUUCGGUCUGUAAAGCCCUUUUCUGUGUGACGAGAAUGGACGGUAGCACAGGAAUAAGUCUCGGCUAACUACGUGCCAGCAGCCGCGGUAAAACGUAGGAGGCAAGCGUUAUCCGGAGUUACUGGGCGUAAAGGGCGUGCAGGUGGUUCAAUAAGUUGGUUAUGAAAGCUCCUGGCUAAACUGGGAGAGGUUGACCAAGACUGUUGAACUUGAGUGGAUGAGAGGUAAACGGAAUUCCGCGUGUAGUGGUGAAAUGCGUAGAGAUGCGGAGGAACACCAGUGGCGAAGGCGGUUUACUGGCAUCCAACUGACACUGAGACGCGAAAGCAUGGGUAGCGAACGGG
rnacentral:rRNA from 1 species